GUGGUCGGCGUGUCAGCCACUGCCUCACCUAGAUUUCUCGUCGCCCUUUGCUGUCUACACCUUCUUGUUGUCUUCUUUUCACUCCCCAAGCUCCGUUACAGCUAUUAAUCUGUCUCUCUGAGCUCUAACCACCUUGCCCACAAAUCCAAUUGCUUUAUUUCUAUAUAGAUAUUUUAAAAGUAUGAUUUUACUCGUACCUUCUAUUGAAUAUAACCAAGCAUACGAAAAAUGUGUCCAUGGGACACUGAUAAUACCCAAGCUAUCAUAUAUAACAUUAUAAAGGGUACGCAAGAACGGCCACCCAAAUUCGCUUUUGAACUGUGUUUUAUGGUAAUACAACAUUCUGUAUACGGCG
rnacentral:lncRNA from 1 species